rnacentral:rRNA from 1 species
GACGGGGCCCGCACAAGCGGUGGAGUAUGUGGUUUAAUUCGAUGCAAUGCGAAGAACCUUACCUGGUCUUGACAUCCCGGAGACCCUUAGGAAACUAGGGGGUGCUUCCAUCUGGAAGAAUCUGGAGACAGGUGCUGCAUGGCUGUCGUCAGCUCGUGUCGUGAGAUGUUGGGUUAAGUCCCGCAACGAGCGCAACCCUUGCCUUUAGUUGCCAGCAGUUCGGCUGGGCACUCUAAAGGGACUGCCGGUGUUAAACCGGAGGAAGGUGGGGAUGACGUCAAGUCCUCAUGGCCUUUAUGACCAGGGCUACACACGUACUACAAUGGCCGAUACAAAGGGCAGCGACACUGCGAGGUGAAGCCAAUCCCGUAAAAUCGGUCUCAGUCCGGAUUGGAGUCUGCAACUCGACUCCAUGAAGUUGGAAUCGCUAGUAAUCGUGGAUCAGCAUGCCACGGUGAAUACGUUCCCGGGCCUU